GGGAGGGGGCUCAGAACGAGAAUUACAACUCUUGGAGGAACUAGGAGGGGACCGAUCCCCCUCGCUAAUGGAGAUGUGGGAAGGGGAACCCGUAGGAAGGCUGUCAACCCUACUAGCCCCAACUUUACGUCGCUUCAUCGGGGGUCCCGUGUGUUUCUUACCCAUCUACUUUCCCCCAACAACACAUCCACAAGCCCCCAACGACACAUCCAGCAAACCACACGUUUCCCAAACAGCAACAUGUCCAUACCAAGCACCAUCCACCACACAUCAACCACCAAAUGCAAACACCAACCAACAAAAAAAAAAAAAAAACAAACAAACACAACAAAAACCAAAAAUAAAUUUUUCUCAAAGUAUGCAAAAUAGAGCCACUGUAAAUGCGCCAAAGGAGGAGAAAUGAUGAGGGAUACCUAUGGUUCACCAACUCAGUAGAUCGGGAUUGAAAAUCGUGGCAAGACGAAGCUGCAGGCAACCAAAAACAGUGAGUAAAAAUAUGCAAGUAUAAAAAUACAAAAUAAAGCUUAUAUAUCUGUAAUUAUUUAUAAAUAAAUGAAUAAAUAAAAUGAAGAGCGAAGAAGCUGCAGCAACCGACGUCGGCUGUCAUGGCUGCAACCACCGAGAACCGACGCCGGAGAUCACGGGAAGGAUGCCGGAAACCACCAAAGGAGGACGCCGGCCAAAAAAAAAAAAAAAAAGAGAAAACGAAGAACAGAGAAGACAACACGGAGGGGGGACUGCAGUCACCAAACCGACGCCGGCUGUCGCGGCUGCAACCACCAAACCGACGCCGGCUGUCGCGGCUGCCACCACCAAACCGACGUCAGAAAUCACAGAGAAAAACACCAAGCCGAAACGAAAAGAGAAGAAAAGGGAAGGAAGAGAGAAAGCACCAAGGGAAAAAUGAAGAAACGAUGAAGGAGGGGUUACCGUGUGUAUCGCCGGACUGAGAUCUCGCCGUGAGCCGCCGGAAAUCGCCUUGAACCGACCAGAUCUGGAGCCCAAAACCGCCACUGCAGCAGCCGAGAUCCACGCCGGAAAACGUACCAGAUCAACGCCGGCCGAGAGAGAAAGAGAAAGAAGAAAGAAAGAAAAGGAAGAAGGAAAAGAGAGAAAAAGGAAGGAGAAACGUGAGAAAGAAAAGGGAGAAAGAAAAUGGGAAAGAAAUAAAAGAAAAAGAGUAAAGGGAGAGUAAAGCCUAGGGAAGAUGAACAAGGCUAAAAAAAAAAAAAAAAAAAAAAAAA
rnacentral:lncRNA from 1 species